UGGAUCCUGAGUACGACGGAGCACGUGAAAUUCCGUCGGAAUCUGGGAGGACCAUCUCCUAAGGCUAAAUACUCUCUAGUGACCGAUAGUGAACCAGUACCGUGAGGGAAAGGUGAAAAGUACCCCGGAAGGGGAGUGAAAGAGAACUUGAAACCGUGUGCUUACAAGUAGUCAGAGCCCGUUAAUGGGUGAUGGCGUGCCUUUUGUAGAAUGAACCGGCGAGUUACGAUCUGAUGCAAGGUUAAGCAGAAAAUGUGGAGCCGUAGCGAAAGCGAGUCUGAAUAGGGCGAAUGAGUAUUUGGUCGUAGACCCGAAACCAGGUGAUCUACCCUUGGUCAGGUUGAAGUUCAGGUAACACUGAAUGGAGGACCGAACCGACUUACGUUGAAAAGUGAGCGGAUGAACUGAGGGUAGCGGAGAAAUUCCAAUCGAACUUGGAGAUAGCUGGUUCUCUCCGAAAUAGCUUUAGGGCUAGCCUCAAGUGAUGAUUAUUGGAGGUAGAGCACUGUUUGGACGAGGGGCCCCUCUCGGGUUACCGAAUUCAGACAAACUCCGAAUGCCAAAUAAUUUAACUUGGGAGUCAGAAUGUGGGUGAUAAGGUCCAUAUUCGAAAGGGAAACAGCCCAGACCACCAGCUAAGGUCCCAAAAUAUAUGUUAAGUGGAAAAGGAUGUGGCGUUGCCCAGACAACUAGGAUGUUGGCUUAGAAGCAGCCAUCAUUUAAAGAGUGCGUAAUAGCUCACUAGUCGAGUGACACUGCGCCGAAAAUGUACCGGGGCUAAACAUAUUACCGAAGCUGUGGAUUGUCCUUUGGACAAUGGUAGGAGAGCGUUCUAAGGGCGUUGAAGCAUGAUCGCAAGGACAUGUGGAGCGCUUAGAAGUGAGAAUGCCGGUGUGAGUAGCGAAAGACGGGUGAGAAUCCCGUCCACCGAUUGACUAAGGUUUCCAGAGGAAGGCUCGUCCGCUCUGGGUUAGUCGGGUCCUAAGCUGAGGCCGACAGGCGUAGGCGAUGGAUAACAGG
rnacentral:rRNA from 1 species